rnacentral:rRNA from 1 species
UACAUGUGGGGCAAGCGUUGUUCGGAAUUACUGGGCAUAAAGGGUGCGUAGGCGGCAUGCCAAGUCAGGGGUGAAAGGUUUCGGCCCAACCGGGACAGUGCCAUUGAUACUGGCGUGCUUGAGUGCGUGAGGGGUGACUGGAACGAGUGGUGUAGCGGUGAAAUGCGUAGAUAUCACUCGGAAGGCCAACGGCGAAGGCAGGUCACUGGUACGCAACUGACGCUGAGGCACGAAAGCGUGGGGAGCAAACAGG